rnacentral:rRNA from 1 species
CUGAGACACGGCCCAGACUCCUACGGGAGGCAGCAGUGGGGAAUCUUAGACAAUGGGCGAAAGCCUGAUCUAGCCAUGCCGCGUGAGCGAUGAAGGUCUUAGGGUCGUAAAGCUCUUUCGUUAGGGAUGAUAAUGACAGUACCUGA